AAGCAUCAGGGGCUGACCAGAUGAGACACUGACCUAUCAGCCUGAACCGACCUGACUCAUGGACAUCAUCUUUUCUCCACUCCUGAACAUGUAGAGUUCAACCCAUGAGGUUGCAGGGAUUUCCACAAAAUACAUUUGGAGGAGCCAAGCCUUCAACACCAGCAGUUUUCUGUCAGAGUGUUGGAAUGAUCAAUAAAUCGGCACUGACUGAUCUCAGAGUCUGA
rnacentral:lncRNA from 1 species